GAUAGAGUAAGCUAAAAUAAAGCUGUUGGGUUCAUACCUCAAAAAUGGAUGUUGUGGUCUCUCUAUUA
rnacentral:tRNA from 1 species